AAUAACAAAGAUAGUGCUUAAUUUGGUAAAUGAGUGGGUGAUCAUAAUGCUUGAUGAGUAGAUGAUCAUAGUGCUUGAGUUGGUAAAGGAGUGGAUGAUCAUAGUGCUUGAGUUUGGUAAAGAAGUGGAUGAUCAUUUCAAUGCUUAAUUUAUAACAAAAAUAUCAUUUUCAGAAUUCAGACAACCAGUUUUGUCUCAUUUUUUUCUUCUAUAUCUUUUUUUGUAAGAAGAGAAGAACAAAAUGUCGUUCUCUCCCUCUCGGCUCUCGAUCUCCCCGG
rnacentral:lncRNA from 1 species